rnacentral:rRNA from 1 species
GAGUUUGAUCCUGGCUCAGAACGAACGCUGGCGGCGUGGAUAAGACAUGCAAGUCGAACGGGGAUCUUAGAGCUUGCUUUAGGGUCCCAGUGGCGAACGGGUGAGUAACACGUGAGUUACCUGCCCAGAAGACGGGGAUAGCCCAGGGAAACUUGGAUUAAUACCCGAUGUGAUCGAAGGAUUAAAGGUGGCUUCGGCUGCCGCUUCUGGAUGGGCUCGCGGCCUAUCAGCUAGUUGGUGAGGUAACGGCCCACCAAGGCGACGACGGGUAGCUGGUCUGAGAGGAUGACCAGUCACACUGGAACUGAGACACGGUCCAGACACCUACGGGUGGCAGCAGUCGAGAAUCAUUCACAAUGGGCGAAAGCCUGAUGGUGCGACGCCGCGUGGAGGAUGACGAUCUUAGGAUUGUAAACUCCUGUCAUCAGGGAGUAACGCUCUGGCGUUAAUAGCGUCAUGAGCUUGAUAGUACCUGAAGAGGAAGGGGCGGCUAACUCCGUGCCAGCAGCCGCGGUAACACGGAGGCCCCGAGCGUUGUUCGGAAUUACUGGGCGUAAAGAGUGCGUAGGCGGCGAGGCAAGUCAGAUGUGAAAGCCCGGGGCUCAACCUCGGAACUGCAUCCGAUACUGCCUUGCUUGAGGGUUGGAGAGGAGACUGGAAUUCACGGUGUAGCAGUGAAAUGCGUGGAUAUCGUGAGGAAGACCAAUGGCGAAGGCAGGUCUCUGGACAACUCCUGACGCUGAGGCACGAAGGCCAGGGGAGCGAAAAGGAUUAGAUACCCUUGUAGUCCUGGCAGUAAACGGUGCACGCUUGGUGUGGGAAGGUUCGACCCUUUCCGUGCCGUAGCAAACGUGUUAAGCGUGCCGCCUGGGGAGUACGGCCGCAAGGUUAAAACUCAAAGAAAUUGACGGGGACCCGCACAAGCGGUGGAGUAUGUGGCUUAAUUCGAUGCAACGCGAAGAACCUUACCUAGGUUUGACAUGCAUCUCUAAGCUUAUGAAAGUAAGUGAGCGUCGCAAGACGCAAUUUGCACAGGUGCUGCAUGGCUGUCGUCAGCUCGUGUCGUGAGAUG